rnacentral:rRNA from 1 species
UACGGGGGGAGCAAGCGUUGUUCGGAUUUACUGGGCGUAAAGGGCGCGUAGGCGGCGCGACAAGUCACUUGUGAAAUCUCCGGGCUUAACCCGGAGCGGCCAAGUGAUACUGUAGUGCUAGAGUGCGGAAGGGGCUACUGGAAUUCUCGGUGUAGCGGUGAAAUGCGUAGAUAUCGAGAGGAACACCUGCGGCGAAGGCGGGUAGCUGGGCCGACACUGACGCUGAGGCACGAAAGCGUGGGGAGCAAACAGG